CUUCUAGGGGGACGAGGGAUCCAGGCUUCACAGGAGAAGCUGUGGUGGGGUGGUGGUGGUAAGGAGGUGGACCCUCCCUCAGGGCUCCCCAUCACAUAUGUAACCCCGGGGAAUUGACAAAGGGCUGCCCCUGGUUACCUGGGCUGCACUAUUAGAUGUGUGACAUCAGAACAAGAGAAUAGAUCUUCCCAUAAAUUCCAAUGGGGAGGGAGCAGGUGAGACUGACCAAAUGUUCUACCUUCCUAUGACUCAUUCCAGACACAGGCUCAGGCUGUGUCCUUGUGGGACAUUGUCCUUUCAACAACAGAAAGCCCAAGGAUACUUUCUUGCAUGUGUUGGCUUUGUGGUGCCACAUGAGGCUUUCCUGGUCACAGCCAAAUAAGCAGGAGGAAGCCGAGGAAGCACUCCUAUUAACUGCCUCUGUCUGGCUUGACACGUGUCUCUGGUAUUCCCAGUCCACUGGGCAGAGAAGUCACACGGGCCCAGGCACCACAAGGAAAGGAGUAACGGGCCCCAGCUACCUCUACCUCAGUGACCAAACCCAGCUCGUGACCCCAAGUUAAGGACAACUGCUAGCAAUUUUAUUGGCCAGUGUUCCUAAAAGCCAAACACUUUUAGGCUUGGGAAGUAUGUCAGUUAUGUCAGUAAAUGAAGCAGAACAAAACCACCAUCUUCUCAGAACUACCAGUCCAGUAGGAAAUGGAGGAAGAUGGAUUAUUAACCCCAAAAAUAAGAAAGCAAGUUUUCUUCUUCCCACCUAUGUCUGUGCUUAUGUUCUCUGAGUGUUGCAUUCAACUCGUUCCAGCGGGGCUGCGUGCUCCGCCCAGGUCACCUCACAGUCUCUUGAGGUCCAGCCCGUAUCAGAUGUCCUUGACCAGCAUCGUGGUUGUGGUUGGCACGGUGGUCACCCAAUGCAAAACGUGAAGACCCACCUUUCUCAGAAGGCGCUAUGUCACCGGUUUCAUGGCCAGUCUGGUGUUGAUGUGAUGAGUGAGUUGGAGAUGCCCCUGAUCUGGGUGAAGCUGAAGGAACUCUUUAAAUCCAAGAUAUCCAUCUUCAUGUUGGAACCUGAGGGACCCAGAGCUUGCAACAUACAUAUCCCAAGGAUAAGCUGAUCCAAACUUAUUUAUACCAGUUGCUUUAAAAACAAAGAGAGGAAGAAAAAAAGGAAGAAGAAAGAGAAAGAGAAGACAAAAAAUUAAAAGAAAACAAUGUUUUGAAAAUCUAUGUUGCUAGAAACAGAUGCAACUGUGAAGAGCCAGGUGGCUGCUUGCUCUUAAAAAUCCCAGUGCUAUGAUCCUGAGUCUACCCCCCACCCCCGAUCUAACCCAAGAUGAAAGGAGUAACACAUGUUAUUAAAUCUUCCAGCCUCAGAUUUCUUCAUUGCUCUCCUCUGAACACUCACUUUCAGAACCGAGGAUCAGGCAUUGCAGAGGGAUGUGGAAAAGGGGAGAUGGUCCCUCUCAUCCAAAGGCAGUUGCAAGAAUCUGAAACAAAGUGACAGACUACUGAAAUCACAGACUCUGACAAGUCGAGAAGUGCAGUGUCAUCCAAGCCAAACCUCUUCUACAAUCUCUGAAAGAUGCUCAUCUUCUGGCUGAAUAGUCCACUGAAAAGAUACUCACCAUCCCACUGACACAGUUCCAGCCAGCGUUUAUGGAGCACCUGCUGCGUGCCAAGCUCUGUUCCCCUGGCCCCUGGCCCCGUGGAGUCUAUGGUCUGAGGCAGGGGGGAAGACAGAGAGAGAGAAAGAGAGAGAAGCAGAGAGAAAAGCAGGCUCCAUGCCAGGAGCCGGACUCGGGACUCCAUCCCAGACUCCAGGAUCACGCCCCGGGCCAAAGGCAGGUGCUGAACCGCUGAGCCUCCUGGGGAUCCCAGAAAGGAACAUUUAAACUGAGACCCGAAGAAUGAGUUGGAAUUAACAUCCCCCAGGCUGGAGAAUCUUAUCUUCUGCCCCAGAAGGGGACCGUGAUCAGGGCUUGGUAAUGCUCCAGCCUUGAAGCAGAAGCCACAGCCUUGAGAUCGUGCCAAGGCAGAAAAUGAAAUAUUGAUGACUCUUCUCAGGAACAUCUCUCUAGAUGUUUAGCUUUGCCCCAAAGUCUGAGCUUCUCUCCACCGGCACCACACAUGGAAAUCCAGGAGAGCCACGUGGCCCAGCGGAAGUCUACCAGGUCUGGUUUCCAAGUCGGACCCGGUCCAGAAAAAGGAACGCUCAAAUGAGUCUGGAAGCUCCUGACGUGAGAGCUGCGGAGGAUCCUAGAGGGACUUCCCUGCCCCGUCCUGAGGCAGCAGCGACAGCAGUGACAGCAGCCACAGCAGCCACAGCAGUGACAGCGGGCUGCAGGGGCUCAGCAGGUACCCACGUUUGCUUCCUCCUACAUGUUGCCUGGCGUCUCCAUUCCAUCCUCUGACACCAGAGCUGUUCAAGAUAAACCGAGGCACACUACAAAUGCGACGAGUUUAUCCGAGCGAAAAUUCCAUCAGAAUCGGGCAGCAUCCAAUCCAGCAGAGAGAAAGGAGCUUCGAGCUGCUGUACAAACGGAAAGCAGGCAGAUGGGAGCAGGAGCAGGAGCAGGGAAGUUACACCAGGCAGAAAACCAAGUGGCUUAUUGCAAAGUCUUUUGGCUUUAGGGGAUGGCAGGGGUCUAUCAGGCAGGUUACUUAAAUAACACUGUUUGGGUGAGCCCUGGUGGUUUCGGUUUGCAUUCCUGGGAUUGAUUCUUUGUGCUGAAGUCUUGGUUUGGUGAUGUGGGCCUUAGCAUCAACAUCUCCAGUUUGGGCCUAUUGUCUUGUUUUUGGCGGUUCUUACAUAUGAUUGUUUUGGAGGCCCUAAAUUAUUGGCUCCUUUGUAUUCUUAUAAAUCAUUUUUCAUCUCCUCAGAUGCCCUUUCCAAACAUCUAUUGGUUUAUUGUUUUGGGAACAAAAAAUUACGAUCCGUGUAGUGGCUGUUUAAUGCAGAUUCAGAGUCAUUUGUCAGAAGAUCAGAGCUUUUUGGGGCUAAGCAGCAGAUAGAUCAAAGGAAAUCCUUAUUUCACGUCUCAUUUGGUAUGACUUAUCUUUAAAUGUCAGAAAAUGGAAGUUUGGAAUUUGUGUUAGCAUAAAAGUACUCUCCUACCUCUGAGAAAACAAGCUGUCCAGCCACCAAUAUGCCAAGCAAUGGAGUGGGGUGCGAAUGGCAAAGCCUGGGAUCUUCCUUGUGCCCUGUAGUGAUCCUUAUUUACUGCCCCAGUGACUGUGUUCUAGUGUGUUCUCUGUGCCAGGCAUGUGCUGAAUGCUGGCAACACAGAGAUGAGUGGAGAUGAGUGAGUCCCUGCCCUCCUAGGGCCUGCAUUCGUGUGAAUGAUUACCCUGAACCAUAGGGCAUCUUACAACCUGGCAGGCAGAUAGAGAGCAGGGUGGAGGGACGCUCACCCGGCCUGGAAACCCCAUAAGGCCUCAGUGAAUGAACAGCUGGAGGACAAUCAGGAGUGAAUGGGAAGAUCCUACCGUGGAGCAGCAGGUACCCUAGAAAGGACACGGGGAGAGUAUGGUUCCUGGUAGGAAGUUGCAUGGGAGUUUAGUCUGGCUGGAACAAAGAAUGUAAGAUGACAUUGCCAGGAAGAGAUGACCCAGGGGAAGCAGCAUCCAGGUGACACAGGGCCUUGGGAGCCAGGGCUGAAUCUGUCCUAUACUCUAAGAACCAUGGGAAACCAUUGGGGGUAUUUUAGGUAGGAGACUCACGUGAUUAGAUUUGUGUGUUUGAAGAGUCCCAGGAGGGGACUGGUGAAAGUGUGUGUGUGGGUAAAUCUGAAAAUCUCUCUGUGAGCCUGUUCUCUCUCUUUACAGCAAGUUAUUACUCGUAUAAGGAAAAUAUGUAAGUGUGCAUGUGCACGGAACAUCUCUGGAAAGACAAAAAGCAAGGCACAAUGGUUGCCUCCCAGAAGGGAAUGGAGGCAAGAGGGACAGUUUGCUUGCACCUUUUGACACUUUCUGUGGCCGUGUUGUCCAAUUCAAAAGAAUUGUAUUAAAUCUGGUUAUUCCAAAAGCAUGCUUUAAAGGGGAUGGAGUCCAGUUCCCAAGGUCAGAUGAAUGGAAGCACUUCUUCUGCAUUUUCCCUGAUAGCUGGGCAUCAGUGUCCAAACACUUUCAGGACUGAGACUUCAAGCAUCUAAAAUUCAAUCUGACACUGAGCUAAAGUCCAUGUUCCUAGAAAGCUGCUCCUUCCACUCCCCAACCCACUUGCCCUAUGUGGGUGCUCGUUCUUUUCUUACAGUACAGAGCAAGCCUCUUCCUCUCAGUCUUUAAAACAUUUGUAGAAGGCUGUUACAGUUUUCCAUAAUUGGAGGUCACAAGCAAAAGCAACCCGAACCGGCAGGUAGUAUAAAAGAGGGAAUCAGCUAAGACAAAGCGGCCGGUGCACUCCCUCCCCUGGAGACAAGGGCACAAUGGAAGUGGUACGCACUGAGCCCAGGAGACUCAGCGAGGCAGCAGCUGUUGUCCAAGAAAAUACUGCCAUGUAGGGAAGAGGGCCAGAUGCUGCCACAAUUCCCAGGGAGCAGCAGAAACUGAUAAAUCUUUUUGAGGUACUUCAACUUUAAAAUGUUGACAGCUACAUAUUUUUUUUUUGAACACUGCAGACCAGACAAAAUGUAUAUACAGCUGGGCGGGGCCCGUAGGCCAUCAGUUUACAGUGUGUCCUGUCAUCUUUCCUCUAGGUAGCAUGAGAAUUUCUCUUUUUGUUGUAUAAUGGUUGGAUUUGUAAUUAGGAUGCUUGUGAAGUUACCAUUAUCCAAAUUUGCCUAUUUCUCGAGUUUUCUUUGAGCAUUAGAAGUAGGAGGAGUCAGGCAGCUGAGUUCCAGCCCCAUGGAAAGCACCAGAUGAUCACGUGGAAGCCAUAAAAGUACUUUUUCGUAUGGUUGCAUUUCCUAUCUGUGCAAGGAGAAGAAGAAGACCUGGAUCCCAAUGGGGCUGCUUUACAGACUGUUCUCAAUGGAUUUCCCUUCUUUGCUCCUGAGCUUCAAAAUGUUCUAGAGGUUGGAGAUCUAAGAUCAGGGUGCUAGGUGAUUGGGUGGGGCCUCUUUUCUGGGUCUCAGAUUCUGCCCUGUAUCCUUACCAGGUGGAAGGUCAAGGCUGCUUUCUCUUUUCAUUAGUCCUCCUCCAACUUGAUUGCUUUCAGCUGGGGUAUCAAACCAGGGCUCUUGGAUAAGAUGAGCCAUCACUGGCUUCCUGCUACCGAUUAGGGGCUGAGCACCUGUUUAUGAGAUUGUGAUACACUGUUAGUAGCAGUGGGCAUAUUACUAAACCAUGCCCGUGCAGGUGUUUUGCCAAAACGACCUGUAGAGCACUGCGAUUGGCUGUUGCCCUCCUGAGAAAUCCUUUCGGACAAGACUUGUCCCUUCCUUUCACUCCUCCUUUUCUUCUCCUCUGGUUCUGGAGAGUUCACCAGCCCAGGGGCAAUGUGGGCAACGUUGGUGGGUGGGACCUCCAGCCUCCAGUCUUAUCCUGCCUCUCUCAUCCGUCUUCUUUUCCACUUCCCCUCAUCUCUCCAGGCACCUCGCCCUGGCAGGCCUCCCAGCUCUACCUGUUAACAGGAGUCUUCAAUGAUGAUUUAGAGCAUCCCUCCCUUCCCCACUCCUACUUGCCCUUCUCUCUCCUGUUAAUCCUUGUUAAGGUUGGGUAAAAAACCAGCAAUUGCAGCAAUGGUAGUUCUUUUUCUGCCAUACAGAGUAAGCCUCUUCCUCUCUCUCGUCUUUAAAGCAUUUGCAGAGGCUACUGUGGUUUUCCAUAGUCAGAGGUUACAAACAAAAACAAAUGCAUUGCAAAUUCCUAGAAGAGACAGCAGUAAUGUAGCAGGCAAGGAAAACGACAGUAUCGACUGAACCAUGGGGACAAGGCAACAGCAGAAACCAAGAGGAGCAGUGGCAGUUGGACUAUAGCAGUAGCCACAGAAGAAGGGAGUAAGUCUUACUAGGGAGCUCCAGAAUAAAGGGAAGAGGCUUGGGGUGCUUAUAAUCUCAAUUAUCUCAUGGCACUGAGGCUCAGGGUCACUCACAUUGUGACUCUUGGCAAUGCUUUCAGUCAUUUAUUUAUUUUUUCAUUCAAUAGAAAUUUGUUUGCAUAUAUUUUAUGUGUGCACAGUAAAUGAGUUGGCCUAGGCCAGGAGUCUUUCCUGUAAAGGGCCAGAAAGUAAAUAUUUUAGCCUUUGUGGGCCAUAUGGUUUCUGUGAUAUUGUGAUUUAUAUUAAAUAUAUUUUUGGUCUUCGUCCCCCUUUCUGGCACAGAGCUCCUACAACCCCUGGAAUUUUCUAUGAUGAAAGCAACAAGUAUUUUGUUAUAUCAGUGAAGUGACUUUUAUACCUCACCUAAGGAUGGAAGCUCAUUGCCAGUGAAGCCAGCCGUGUGAUUAAAAGGUUGGAACUUUCUGUUCCAAUCUCUAACCUUCAGAAGGACUGGAGUUUCAGUUCAGUCACCAAUGGCCAUGAUUUUAUCAAUAAUUCCUAUAUAAAUAUAAUGAAGCCUCCAUAAAAACCUAAAAGGAUGGAGUUUGGAGAGCUUCUGGGUUGGUGAACACGUGGGGAUUUGAGGAAAGUGGCAUGUCCAGAGGCUUGAGGAGAGUGGCAUGUCCAGAGGGCACGUUCUAUGCCCCUUCCUAUAUACCUUGCCCUGUGUCUCUCUUCUAUCUGGCUAUUACCGAGUUAUAACUUUUUAUAGUAAACUGGUAAUCCAGUAAUGUUUCUCUGAGUUCUGUGUCUCCAGCAAAUUAACACAAGGAGGCUUUGGAACCUCUAAUCUAAAGCUGGUCAGUGAGCAGCACAGGUGACAACCUGGACUUGUGAGUGGCAUCUGAAGUGGGAGUUGUCUUGUUGGACUGGGCCUUUAACUGGGGAAUCUGAUGUUUUCUUCAGGUAGUGAGGAACUGAACUGAAUGAUAGGGCACCCAGUUGGUGUCAGAGGAUUGUUUGGUGUUCACACACACACAUGGAUUGGUAUGUUUCUUAAUUUCUCUCACAGUACUCUUCUCUGCCAUUAUAGCACAUAAACGGCCAUAGACAAUAAAUAAAUAAAUGUUUGCUUAUUCCAUGUAUUCCAAUAAAACUUGAUCUGUAGAAACAAGGGGUGGGCCAGAUUUGAUCCAUGAUCCAUUAAUCUUACUAACCCUUGGCUUAGAGAAAAUAGAUUGCUAGUUACUCUUUUUGUCUCUCCAAAUCCACUCUAUACCUUUUUUUUUUCAUUCUGUUCUCUAUGCCAAGAUGCUUGCUUCUGUGGACUGUCACCCCAGCUCCUUGCCCUCUGGCUUUUGGUUAGGAUUGACAAUGGGAGGCCCUAGAAGCAUAUCGGGGUUGGGAGAGAGGUUGGAGGAAUGUAGUUUCUCUACUCCCUCCCUUCUGGGCUAUGCUUUGGUAAUGGCUGUGUUCCUUUACAUGUUGGCAUAGCUCUGACUAGUUGUUCAAACCCAGGGCUAUGCCUUUUACCCAAUCCCAGUAACAGCUCCCUUCCUUGGCCCUUCAGCCCAAGGGGUGGUAGUGGUUUCCCACUGUUCUUAGUUCUGGGCACUUCUCCAUCCCCUGUAUUCCUUACCAUUGUCCAUACCUCAUGUGUGGUCCCUUCAUUAAAUGCUCUUCAAUGUUCCCUUCAAGUGUGCUAUCUUUUCCCCACAGAUCAGUGUCUGAGUAUGCCCUUAGAGGGGACAUAGACUGUUUUUAGAUAUAACAGUAUUGGUUACAACCUCAGAUCCAGGAUGCUACAUGUAAUCUACACAUGGCCAGUCGGAGCACCAAAUCACCCAAGCCACAGUAAUCGGUUCCAGAAUGUUCACAUGAACCAAGUUGUUACAGUUGGAGGGAAUAAUGAUACUUAUGUAGAAACUACCAGAAAGUGCUGUCUAUUCCCCUGGAUUUGAGUCUGGGAAAGUAGGAAUUUGGAGCUUCCUGUAGCUAUUUUAUGAAGCCUGAGGACAAGGUCUAACACUAAAGAAGGCAAAGUCCAGAGGUAACCUCAUUUGAGUCACUGGAAACAGAUCUGUUCAUUGAUGUUUUUGUCAAGGAGACAGUAAAAUUCCUUUUUUUUUCUUGUUAAGACCGUUUAAGUUGAAAUUUCUGCCACUGGCAUCCAAUAGCAUAACUUAUUUAAAAAAAAAACUCUGUGACUACAUUAUACAAAUAUUAUAUUUACUGAUACCUAAGUAGAAAAAGUCCUCUUUCAUGUCUGGUUUAGAUGUACACUAAUACAGCAUAGUGAAACCCACACUGGAUUUUAGUAGUGAUAAAAGCUAAAGAGUUGGUUAGCCAUCAGCACACUUCCAAAGGGGAAUGACAGGAGUGUAGUAGCAUCUUGGUGGUUAUUGCCUCUCCUACUAGAAAGAAAGCUCCCAAGCCAUAGUCUCACCUACUUGGAUGCUUCACAAUAGCAAAGAGAGAAAACUCAUCUGAAUGAAUGGGCAGAUUGGUGCUAUCGUUGGCAAGACAAUGAGUUACAGCCUGGUGUUUUUUAACAGUUAUAAACAAAUUAUGAAUUUGUGCCAGUAACCAAAAUAGAGACAACUGGGCAUAAUAAACAUUAAGUCUCAAAAGAGAUCAUCUAACCAAUAACCUAAAAUAUCUUUUGUGGACUCCAAUGGUGUUAAUUAUACUAAAUAAUACUAAGAAUUUGUUGAGUGAAUGUCAGCCUCGUGCAGUACAAGGAUGGCAGAUAGUUUUCACUUCUUGUGCCAAUUGUGGUUGUGGCUGCUCAGAUUAUGUUGAGAACAGCUGUAAAGCCAAAUCUGGGCUCAACAAGAAUGAGUACCAUAGUCAGUUUAAGGUCUCUUCUGCAGAAGUGGAAGAAAGGAGUACAGAAGGUACUUGUCACCCUUGAGAGUUGAAAAGUGAAUCUAGGGUGAGAAGGAGUAGAUUUGUGGUAAGUCACUUCCAAUUCAUGUGCCUUGGUUUACUCAAAUUCUUAAAAUAAGGGAGCUGAUCCAAAUAACUUAUGUCUCCCUCUUGUUUUUCUUAUUUAUUUAUCCAUAUUUUUUUUGUUGGCUUAUGCCUAGCAGCAAUGGAUGCAAUUUGUCCCUGUGUUUGUGGUGAUCUCCCAUCUUACGUAUAGAAGCCAAAAUCUGGUUUCUCACCCUCUUAUGUACCAAGAGUGCCACCAUGGAAUGUGGGUCCACCAAUCAGACCUAUCUAUGUUGACUUUGUUUGAAAGCUGGUGGUGGCAAGAGGCCGGCUCUGCGCAGAAUCCAUCUGGCAAGGACAAAGGCCACUUUGUUGAAGCUGCAGACUCAGAGGAGCUGGUGGUAAUGUCUAGUGGUGGGCUGUGAUGGCAGCUGCAGUUAGGGAGCCUCUGAAGGUAUCAUUGAGGAAGCUCUGCAGCCCAGGUAGUGGUGUUGUUGCUGGCAUCUUCCAAUGCUUCAUC